GACGAACGCUGGCGGCGUGCCUAAUACAUGCAAGUCGAGCGGACUUUCCGGAGUGCUUGCCCUCCGGAAGGGUAGCGGCGGACGGGUGAGUAACACGCAGGCAACCUGCCCAUUCGACCGGGAUACCAUUUGGAAACGAAUGCUAAUACCGGAUAGACGGACCUCUCGCAUGAGGGGAUCGGGAAAGGCGGUGCAAUCUGCCGCUUAUGGAUGGGGUUGCGGUGCAUUAGCGGGUUGGUGGGGUACCGGCCUACCAAGGCGACGAUGCGUAGCCGACGUGUGAGGGGGAGCGGCCACACUGGGACGGAGACACGGCCCAGACUCCUACGGGAGGGGACAGAGGGGAAACUUCCGCAAGGGACGCAAGUCUGACGGAGAAACGCCGCGUGGGUGAGAAAGGGCUUCGGGUCGUAAAGCUCUGUUGCCAGGGAAAAACAGGUAGGGGAGUAACUGCCCUUGCCAUGACGGUACCUGAGAAGAAAGCCCCGGCUAACUACGUG
rnacentral:rRNA from 1 species